rnacentral:lncRNA from 1 species
AGAAAUUUCUCCUUAUCAGUAGCAUGCUGUUCCCACAGCCAGCAUUUUUUUCUCAAAAUAUAGUCCCCAGAGUUCCUCUUUCUGGCCUUAAUAGUCAGCCCAGCCUCUCAAUCCCUUCCUCUAUGCUAAGUUUCCUCUUAAAGACCUGUCAGGUUUGUCCAACCAGGGAAAUAAGAGAACAGUAAAAAGUAUUUGGUGGGGAGAUGGGUGACCCCAGUGACAGAUGUCCUCCUCAUCUUUGGCUCUUCGCAGAUAAUCUCAUUCCAAUUUCUAAGGUUCCAGUUUUUGCUAAUCAAAGCAUGAAUUUUAACCAUUUUCCUAUUUCAUAAAACCCAAUGAAGAUGGAAAUUCAACCAACGCAAUUCCACAAAGAAUAUGAUUUGCUCCUGAAUUCAUCUCUCAGAGGUCUCAGAAAUCCUGCUACAGUCAGAAAGGGUUUCAUGAAGCAGAGUGAUAUAAAGCCACUGAGUUUCCUUGUUUGCCACCUGGGAAUGGGACCCCUGUUUUCUAUCUAAAAUUUAUUCAUUCGAUAUUAUGUUUAUUCCUCGCUCUUUGAAAUUGGUAUCUAGACCUCUCUGGUGCUAUAAUCCUCAAGUUCUAAAGGAGACAGAAUAAUAAACUACCUUGUCCCUGAGUUCCAUGAGCUAUUAGAAUUCAACCUAAGGAUGUGGAGAGGAAUAUUUUUCUCUCUUUACUCCACUACCAGGCAAUAAACAACUCCAAAAUUACCCCCAUUUUACUACAGAAGUUC